ACGGCUCAGUAACACGUGGAUAAUUUGCCCUAAGGUGGAGGAUAACCUCGGGAAACUGAGAAUAAUACUCCAUAGGUCUAAGAUACUGGAAUGUACUUAGGCUGAAAACUCCGGUGCCUUAGGAUAAGUCUGCGGACUAUCAGGUUGUAGUCAGGGUAAAGACCUGACUAGCCUAUGACGGAUAUGGGUUGUGGGAGCAAUAACCCAGAGAUGAUAUCUGAGACACGAUAUCAGGCCCUACGGGGCGCAGCAGGCGCGAAAACUUCACACUGCGCGAAAGCGCGAUGAGGGAAUCCCAAGUGCUUGCACGUAAGUGUAAGCUGUUUCUUUGUCUAAAAAGCAUAGAGAGUAAGGGCUGGGUAAGACGGGUGCCAGCCGCCGCGGUAAUACCUGCAGCUCGAGUGGUGAUCGUUAUUAUUGGGCCUAAAACGUUCGUAGCCGGUUUAGUAAAUGCCUGGGUAAAUCGUGUAGCUUAACUAUACGACUUCCGGGUAGACUGCUAAACUUGAGACCGGGAGAGGCUAGAGGUACUCCUGGGGUAGAGGUGAAAUUCUGUAAUCCUAGGGGGACCACCAGUGGCGAAGGCGUCUAGCUAGAACGGGUCUGACGGUGAGGGACGAAGCCCUGGGGCGCAAACCGGAUUAGAUACCCGGGUAGUCCAGGGUGUAAACGCUGCUUGCUUGAUGUUAGUCGGGCUCCGAGCCCGAUUAGUGUCGGAGAGAAGUUGUUAAGCAAGCUGCCUGGGAAGUACGGUCGCAAGACUGAAACUUAAAGGAAUUGGCGGGGGAG
rnacentral:rRNA from 1 species